rnacentral:ncRNA from 1 species
GUCCGAGAACCGUGAGGAAACGUCUCCCCUUGCGGAUCCGGCAAAAUAUAACCGAUAAGGAG